rnacentral:snRNA from 1 species
GGAUGUUAAGGUUAUCUGGCUGCAGUGUCUGUCGUUUUAUUGAUAGGUUGAUUUGACUUAACUGCCUAGCUAGUUUUGAGUGUCCCCUUCUUCCCUCACUGUCCCCUGUGUUUCACUCCUGAACUGUGUGCUAAAAGUUGAAGACAAUGACUCUCCCUGGUCGAGGAGGAGCUGUUCUACAGCAUGUCAGUUUAUAUGUACAAUGCAUCUUGAUCACUGUCACCCCUUCCAUCAUUUUCCCCACCUGCCAUCUAUCCCAACCCCAUCCAUAACUUCAAUUUUUAAAGGUUAU